rnacentral:rRNA from 1 species
AUUGAACGCUGGCGGCAGGCCUAACACAUGCAAGUCGAGCGGAGCGGCGGACGGGUGAGUAAUGCCUAGGUAUCUGCCUGUGAGCGGUGGAUAACGUCCGGAAACGGGCGAUAAUACCGCAUACUCUCAGAAUAGCAUAGGUCGGAGUAGCAAGUUGGAGGGGUAAAGGUCAACCAAGGCGACGACCCGGAACUGGUCUGAGGGGAUGAUCAGUCAAACUGGAACUGAGACACGGUCCAGACUCCUACGGGAGGCAGCAGUGGGGAAGAUUGCACAAUGGGCGCAAGCCUGAUGCAGCCAUGCCGCGUGUGUGAAGAAGGCCUUCGGGUUGGAAAGCACUUUCAGCGGGGAGGCGUUACCCGCAGAAGAAGCACCGGCUAACUCCGUGCCAGCCGCCGCGGUAAUAC